rnacentral:rRNA from 1 species
CUGGUUGAUCCUGCCAGUAGUCAUAUGCUUGUCUCAAAGAUUAAGCCAUGCAUGUCUAAGUCCAAGCUGUGUUCACACGGCGAGACCGCGGACGGCUCAUUAAAUCAGUCGUGGUCCAAAUGGGCCAGUGCAAAUCCUACUUGGAUAACUGUGGUAAUUCCAGAGCUAAUACAUGCAACUGAUAUCCCGAAGGCGGUGGUUGUGCUUGCUUGUCUUGCGCUCUCACUGCUCUGACGGAUGCUUUUAUUAGACCAAACUGCUGAGGACUUGAGGGCUUGCCUUCUUGUCUGACUCGUGUAAUGGUGACUCUGGAUAACCUUCUGACAAGCGCACGUACUUCUCUUCUGAGCGAGACGGCGCUGCCACUUUCGAGUGUCUGCCUUAUCAGCUAUCAACCGUUCGUUAUGCGCGACCGAUGGCUUUGACGGGUAACGGGGAAUCAGGGUUCGAUUCCGGAGAGGCAGCCUGAGAGACGGCUACCACGUCCAAGGACGGCAGCAGGCACGCAAAUUACCCAAUCCCAGCAAAUGGGGGAGGUAGUGACGAAAUCUAACGAUGCGGGCGCCCUUUCUGGGGCCCCGCAAUCGGAAUGGGCAUUUUCUAAACAACCUGUUGAGAACCUACUGAAGGGCAAGUCUGGUGCCAGCAGCCGCGGUAAUUCCAGCUUCAGCAGCAUCUAUUAAAGUUGCUGCRGUUAAAARGCUCGYAGUUGAAUGUCUGUAUCGAGCGCAGGUCAGGUGGACGUU